rnacentral:rRNA from 1 species
UGGGGAAUAUUGCACAAUGGGGGAAACCCUGAUGCAGCGACGCCGCGUGAGUGAAGAAGUAUCUCGGUAUGUAAAGCUCUAUCAGCAGGAAAGAAAAUGACGGUACCUGACUAAGAAGCCCCGGCUAACUACGUGCCAGCAGCCGCGGUAAUACGUAGGGGGCAAGCGUUAUCCGGAUUUACUGGGUGUAAAGGGAGCGUAGACGGUGGCGCAAGUCUGAAGUGAAAGCCCGGGGCUUAACCGCGGGACUGCUUUGGAAACUGCGCGACUAGAGUGCAGGAGGGGUAAGUGGAAUUCCUAGUGUAGCGGUGAAAUGCGUAGAUAUUAGGAGGAACACCAGUGGCGAAGGCGGCUUACUGGACUGUAACUGACGUUGAGGCUCGAAAGCGUGGGGAGCAAACAGG